rnacentral:rRNA from 1 species
GCAAGUCGAACGGUAACAUGAGAGCUUGCUCUUGAUGACGAGUGGCGAACGGGUGCGUAACGCGUAUACAAUCUACCCUUAACUGGGGGAUAGCCCGAAGAAAUUCGGAUUAAUACCCUAUAAUAUUUUCCUGUGGCAUCACAGGAUUUUUAAAACUUUGGUGGUUAAGGAUGAGUAUGCGUCCCAUUAGCUAGUUGGUAAGGUAACGGCUUACCAAGGCAACGAUGGGUAGCCGACCUGAGAGGGUGAUC